rnacentral:lncRNA from 1 species
UGCUUGAUUUUGUGCCUCAGGGUCUGAUUUCGAUCCAGGUUGCUUACCGGCUCUCCUUGGGUAUCAAUAUCUAGUUUUUCUAGGUAAUUUUUGCUAUAAUUUACUUUUAACUUCUUCCUAAAGAUACUUAUAUCAUUUAUUUUUCUAAUCUACUUUAUUUUGCCUUAUUUAUGGUCCUAUAAAGUAAAUAGAAGUCACUUUUAUUAAAAAGUAGUACUACUAAAAAAAUUUAUUACCUUCCUAUCUUUUAUCCAUAUUUUUCUACUUUAUCUUUUAACU